CCUCUCUCCCGCGAUUUCCCGGAGUCGGCUCACUUCGCAAGAGCUCGGAUCGAGGGGUUCUCCUUCGCAGAAGAGGAAGGGAUUCAUGGAGGACGACACCCGGAGCCGCGUGUCCGACGCCUCCAAGCACCAACAGCUCGCUCUGCAGUCCCGAUACGAUGUGUACCUUGGGUCGGAGGACAUGGAUGGCGGGGAGGACGACUCACGGCCAGAGUUCACCUGCCCGUUCUGUUCCGAGGGCUUCGAUAUCGUGGGACUGUGUUGCCACAUCGAUGACGAACACCCGAUCGAGGCUAGGAACGGGGUGUGUCCUCUUUGUGCAGCUAGGGCUGGCAUGGACAUGGUUGGCCACAUAAUGACAGAGCAUGCAAAUUUAUUAAUAGUACGGCAAAGGAGGAGGUUUUGCAAAGGUUCCUUGGGGCAUUACUCCACACUCUUAUUGUUGAAAAAGGAUCUACGUGAUGGCACUCUUCAGUCACUUGGGGGUUCUUUUGCUCCAUCCAACGUGGCACCUGAUCCACUACUGUCAUCAUUUAUUUUUAAUUUGCCUGACAUCGAUCCAUCAAAAGAUGCACGACCUGAAUCCUUGGAUGAAGGAAGUAUGGUUGACAAAACUUCAGAUGAGAAAUUGGUUCAGAGCGUUGUGCCAUCUCCGAUAUACAAAGAUCAGGUAGAGAGUACUCGAAGGAGUGAGUUUGUGAGGCAGAUUGUGAUCUCCACCGUAUUCGACGAAGAUGCAUUAUGAAGAUACCUAACACUCAUGUUGGAAUGAGCAGCAGAUGGUGCAAAAAUCUCAAGUUGGUUGGUGGUUGCUGCCAUGUUGAUACCAAAAGUGAACAAGAGAUUCUUAUACACGAUAUAUACAAGAUUCAAGCAUGGAAUGUCUUAUAAAUGGUUGUAGUAUCUAUUUUAUCACCCAUAUUAGGGGACCGAAGUAGGGUGUUUUCAAGCAUUCUUGUGUAUGAUAGAAUAUAAAUAGCUGCUUGCUGUCUCGUUUCUGAAGACAUUAUUCGUCCUGGAUAUUGGACUGAGGUUUUUGUAAUAUGUUCUUUUAGCUAACUUGUCUGAACUAAGUUGAUCGGUGCAGGUUGCAUAUGAUCAAAUAGCAGUUCGGUCAAGCUAAGAACAUCAAUCAAGCAACCUGGAACAGUCAAUGUGUAUGUAAGGAACUCCACGAUUAGGAGUUGGUCAUUUAUCAUCAUUACUCCAUGCACAAGUAUUGCUCAAAGAUGGAGUUGAUGAGGUACUGCGGGCAGGCGGGCACGUGAUCCAAGUGAGGAGGGUUUUAGUCCCACAUCGCCACGGCACAGAAGGAACACAGGAGGGAGCGUUAUAAGAGAAGAGCGAGGGGCGGCUGUUUUCCAUACUUACCUGGACGGGGUCGAUGGGCGAUCAAGAAGGCUCAUGGCCUAGGUCAGCGGCUUCCAUUGCACUUGGGAGGCGCGCUGGCUUACCAUCUCCCCAAGUGGGAGAGUGGACGUCAUAAUUUGUGGUAGAGGGGGUACGCGUACGCGCGGCCCCUGCCAAGGCAAAUCGUAAGAUAUUUGGGAGAAUUAUUUUGCAUUAAAUUGUACCCGAUAAUAGAUAAAUCUUUAAAAUAUUACAUCUUUUUUAUCCUGAUAA